ensembl:lncRNA
GUCCAUUUCUUUCCAAAUGCCCUUCACCUUGAUACUUAAACAUGGUAGACCCAAUAUGAAGACAGAUAUUUUGUAUAUGAAAACAGAAUCAUUAAUUUAAUAGUUUACAUAAUAUUUACCAACUGUCACCAGAUAAUGACUAAAUGAAUGUGUGGCGUCAUUGACAUUCUACAAAUAUAACACAAUAUGGACAACAUGACAUUGAGACAAUGAGACAUGGCUAUGGCAUUUCUUGGUUUAUUUGUUCCAAUUGUACAACAUUAUGGCACUGAGAUUCAUGGGAACUCAGAAUUCAGACUUUUAUUUGACAUUUACAACCAAGGUUUGUCUCACUUAACAUUAAAAUAACAUAAUUAAUCCUAAUGAUACAUUUAGCCAGUUAACAUACAUUUAUUCUGAGUAUUUGGAAUGAAAAAAAUGCAACAAAGAAGACAGUCCGACAAUAUGAGUGAAAUUGUCCACAUUUCGGGGACUGAAAAUAAUUCCCCCAUCGAAUUUAAUGCAAAAAUGGGUCACAGAGUAUGAGCUCUACUAAAGAGCACAUAAAAUCCUGAGUGGUCUAUAAAUAAAUAUAGACAUGCCUGGAUUCAUUGAAGGUGCUGUGUCAUAUUGAGAAUGGUUGUAGGAUGGUUGCGGGAUGGUUGAAAACGGUGUAAUGAUACACUAUCCCCACCCUUUACCUGUCAGUAUAACAAAAAAGAACAUAUGUCCAUAAAUGGUUGUAAAACCUUCAUAUCAACAAGACAUUUCAGAAAUAGAUAUUUUUGCUUGUGGUUGAUUCAUUGACUGGUAGAAUGAAAGGGUCUUUGUCAUCCUGAAAAAGUACAUCUAAAAUGGAUGUGAAUGGGAAAUGUGAAACCAAAACCGCGGGAAAAGGCAUUACACUGCGAAAGGAUUAGGCAAACUGUGCGCAGCGUGAAACAGAGAUGUAAACUUAAACGAUAUUUUGACAAAACAUAGCACAAAAUGAAUGAUUGCUACCAGAAACAAUCGUUAUCAAUUGCACCCCAUAUUGUCAUGUCUAUUUGUAUAUAUAUAUAUUCACAUACAUAUUGUAUAUAUAUAUAUAUAUAUAUACACUGUCUCAGAGUACAAUAAUGCAAUAAUAGGCUAUCGAGUUUAUUGAUUUAAAAAAUAAGGACAGUUUUAGGCCUCAACCUAUUUUAAUUCCAUUGCUACAUAGUCUAUUUAGUUUGUUCCUACAUUUUAUAGGUAACCUCGUUAAAUUCACAUGACUUAAGACUGAGUGAAAGCAUAUAGGCUAAUUCGAUAAGGAAAGCACAUGGGUUAUACGUUGCAUAAAAACUGCAGUAACCCGGAUUCGCUGCGGCUACUGGGGUUGCUGCGCGUGCAACCUCGGGUGCAGAGAGAGCAAUAUGUUGGAUAUGCAAAACACCGCAGGUAAACUGGCCGCUCAAAUCAGGGGCUAAAAUAAGCAUUUUCUUCAUAGGAUUAACAAGAGAAAGGGGAUCUGAAGUUUAAUAUCUGCAUUUGUUUGCACAAAUGCUGAUUCGUUAUGUUUAGUGGAAUGCAUAGCUGAAAGAAGUCAACUGUUGUUAUUUAAAGCAGAUUGUUUAUCAUUUCCGAUUAAUUGAAAUGUUAAAAAUGCGCCACACGACCGUAAUUCAAAGCAUAUUAAAUCGAAGAAUAGCAUAAUAAGAAUAAUGAUAACAGUAAUAUGAAAACACAGAGACAUGCAUUUAGAAAAACAUAUAAUGUCAACAUUAUGGCUCUGUAAACCUGUUAAAGUCAGACAUGAAAAGAAUGAUAAUUAGAUUGAGGAUAUAGACUAUGUAAUUUAAGGGGGAAAACACAAGGAUGUGUUACUGAGCACUAUUUCAGUAGACGUGUGGUUGUCAAUCCAUAUAAAUUCAUUCGUUCAUAAGUUAUUUCGAUAUUUACUGACUUUGAGGUUUACAUGAUAUUCUGCUGUCAUGAUCUUGUUUAUUUCUAAACAAUAAAUGAUCGAAAUUCUCCAAAAACUCGUGUAACGUUAUUUUCCCACGGGAACCACUAGAGGUCGCCGUUUCUUAGCGAAGGUACAUCCUACAUCCCCAUCCACAUCCUCAGUCCAAACCUCUAUCUCAACACACACCAACACUGUAUUAUCGUACUGUAUUAUCAAAGAUACAAAUCUUAAUUCAUAUUCGCUAAAUAAUCUCUAGUCCACGACAUAUUCUGUUCAUCAAUGUCGAAUUCCAAAGUUGAGUAUACUGAUAAAGAGUAGUAUUCCCGGGUCUAAUAGUAGAAAAGUAAUAAUAACUUAUGUAUAUAAUUGUGGUAAUAAUAAUAACAAUAAUAAUAAUAAUAUAUGUAAAAAAAUAUAUGUUUGUUUGUCUGGUUUACGUAACGUUGCAGCGACAUUGAAACUAUGACUCACAAAUCAAAUCACACAAACGCAAGCACCACUCAACAUACCUCCCUCUCUAUCUUUCUAUCUCGCUUUCUCUCUCUCUCUCUCUCUCUCUCUCUCUCUCUCUCUCUCUCUCUCUAUCUCUCCCUCUCUCACACACACACACACACACACACACACACACACACACACACACACACACACACACACACACACACACACACACACACACACACACACACACACACACACACACACACACAACAAACACACACACAGCAUCCUAAUUUAUCUCUGAUAAAAGCCAGUUUCGUUAUGGUGAGAUUAAUUCAUUAAAAAAACGAAUGCUUUAGAUGUAAAAUUUGUAUGAAUAUAAAUAACAAGGGUGAAAUUCUUUGUUGCAUGGGUGAGUUUUGGUCAAAACUGACAGCACAAGAGGCAAAAUCAACGCAAUCUCUAAAGAAAAUGCCAUACCUGACCAUUACUGUAAUUUGAAUGCAGAUGAAAAUAGAAAAUAUUGGCAAUAUUUCUAGUUGGAAGGGAUACGAUUGAAAAUAGUAUGAGUGGCUACAAAUAAUUGUCCUCUCUUUACCAGUAUAGGCUGACCGUGUAUGUGUGAUACGUAAUGAGGAUAGUCCAUGUUUACCACAAUAUGGAAGGCUGGUGAUUUAGAUAAGCCUACUCAUGAUCUAGCUCUAAUAUGAAUUCUAACGUGUCAGACAGAAAUAUGCAUUACGCAUUCGAUAAUUGAUUGACGGACCACAUUAAGAUUAGAAUGGUUUUGUCUUUCGGAAAUAUAGAUUCGAAGUAUAGGCCUAUAUGAUUUUUUUAUAUUUGCUAAAUGUCAACAGUUUCUUCUCUUUCAUCACAUUCCUCCAUCUUAGGUAUAUGAUACUGGAAUACAUUUGACAUUUUAGUCAUUUAGCAGAGCCUUGCUCAAGGGGCGGCAGGGUAGCCUAGUGGUUAGAGUGUUGUUCUAGCACCCGGAAAGUUGCAAGUCAAACCCCCGAGGUGACAAAUUACAAAUCUGUCGUUCUGCCCCUAAACGGGUAGUUAACCCACUGUUCCUAGGCCGUCAUUGAAAAUAAGAAUUUGUUCUUAACUCACUUGCCUAGUUAAAUAAAGGUUAAGAAAAAGGGGCACAUCGCCAGAAUUUGCGGCUCGAGGAUUCGAACCAGCGACUUUUCGUUAGGCCCAACGCUACUGGCCCAACGCUCUUAUUGGCUACAAGUAUUCAAUGGCUAUCCAUUUUGACAGCUAUCCUUGGCAAUUCAAAUGACAAAUAGGUAGCCUAAUUGCUUUUGUCUCAAAAAAAUGUCUAAAUUCAAAUAGCUCUCAUUUUUCUAAAUGUUGCUAUAGACCUUGUUCGGCCUGUAGCUCAAGACUAAGUUGUAAAUAUGUAUUAUUAGUGUGAUUGGAAAUUGGAACCGCACUUUAUGCUUAUCUAGGUCACAUAUAGCUGCCAUUCCUCAUUGUACAUAUUGAUCCAAGUGCGUCACACUAUUCAAUUAUAGCCUACAAAUUCGCAAAAUGUGGUUAGGUUUUAAAGUGGCAAAAGCAAUACUUAAUGUGCAAUAAUCCUAGAACGUUGUAGCCUAUGCAUGCAACCCCAUGUGUGUUUGUCAAGACAAAUUACUUGUAGAUCCAUGACAGCAUGCAGCCUCUUCGGAGGGAAACAAUUUUUACGUGUGCCCGUCUGACCACUUCUAUUGGGUGACACAUCAGACGAGCAGUUUGGGAGCAAGGUUCACUUGUGGAGGAGGCUGAGUUACACGAGUAGGGAGUACAGCAUCUCCAACCGGCUCGCACAAUCAAUUGCGCUGGAAAAUUGGCGUCGACUUGAUUGAGAGCGCGUGCAUAGCCUGCCAGGAAGAUUUGAAUGGUGAUGUAAAAUAUAAGGGGUUGGAGAAAUAUGGCCCUGAUUCCCCUGCUUAGGAGAGAGGCCAAGUGGACAUGUCUGUCUGGGACUUUGCCUACUGCUGAACCAACAUGAGCUCAGGUGAGAGAGGAGUCAUCGGGAGCCAGACAGAGAGUACCAGGAUAACGGCUGUGUCCAUGUGUUAAGGAUGACCCACAGAUCACAGAGAUGGAGCAUCUAUCUGCGUGACCCUUUACUGUUGUCUCUAGUGGGGCUCGAGACAUGGGCUUCGAACACCACCUGAACAUCAACAUGCACAACCAUCAAGAUACAGUACGCUGAGAAGACAGAUACAGAACUCUACUAUUUAUAAUCAGCAUGCAUAUAUCUGUUCUAGAUACACAGAAACCACCAAAUACACACUAACAUCCUUUGAAUCAAGUCAGUUUUUUGUAUCAUUGUGAUUUAAAUCUGUAAGUUGUAAAACUGUUUACCAUGUCUACUCACUGGGAUGUAGAAGUACAACAUUAUUUAUUCUGAAUUGUAAAAGUCUGUAUUGGUGUAUUGGAUUUUGAAUUAACCUGUCCUUAGAAUACAGCAUAACAUCUGAAGGGAACCCGCAGGACACAUUGUCUUUAUCUGACAUUGACUGAAUUUAUAGAAAAAGUAAACAUCAAAGGGAAUAUUUUUGUACUUUCUCAAAUCAUUGUAUUUUCUCAAUGAACAGAAUAAAAUAUAUUCAAGAAUAUUUUGUUUCUGAGUUUUUUACAGUAUGUCUACAGUACUGUAUAUACCUUUGACAUGACUAGAUCCUCUGUGGGAUCAAUGUGAA